AAUUAAAACAACAUCUUGGCACGGUUGUCUAUAUUUAUUUACAAUAAACACGACAGUAAAAUUGAAUACUUAUUAUAAAUCCAUUUUAAAAAUAUUAAAAGUACUAGGUACCCUGCGGUAAAAAUAUUAUGAUUUUAAAAGUUAUUAUCGUUCUUAUGGUCACAUUCGUUCGUAUUAUUGUCAAUUUUUUUAGCCAAGAAACGUUACAAGAACAUGUAAAUGUUUAUAGUAAAUAUUAUUAAAGGUUUUCAAUAGGUACUGAAAUCACGCGAAGAAAUCCUUUCUCUUAUCACAGGCUCCAUUUUUAUUAAUAAAGAAAGGAAAAGAUACGUCGCAUUUUUUUUGUUAAGCAGGUGUCUUAAUACCAACGGCAACGUAUCUUAUAUUAUCUUUAUUAGUAGAAAUUUCCCAUUUAAUUCCAUAACUUAUUAAAUUAUGAAAAGCAAUAUAUGUUCUAUAUUUAUUUGUCAAACACAGCUAGUCUAGUUAGUCUCCCUAACAAAAGUAAGACUUUAAACUACAUGGAUAUGUUGGGUUUGAAUUGUUUUACAAUCUUGAUAUCGAUUAGCGGUAAGAGAUCAAAAAAGCUCUUUAAUUAACAUUGUUAUUAUAUAACAACUGCAAGAAGACACCAGACAGUAAAUAGAACCUUAUAGCUAUUAUUUUUAUUUAAGAAACUACGUAUUUGUUAUAUUGUCAAGACUAUCAUGUUUUUUACGUUUUUUAUCAAUUCUUGUAUUGUGAUUGACAACAUAAACUUAUUUGAUUAGCUAAACUAUAUCUGUCACAGGUUAAACUGGCCAAAGUCGUUUUGUAAAAAUGUCCGAUAUAACCUAAGUAUCACUAGCCUAUUUAAAACUUAUAUCCAUGCUUAAUUAAUUCAUUGUCACAACAACAUUUAACAUCGAUACAUUAUAGUGUUUCAUUUAGAUUAAAUUUAUUGUCUAUACUA